GAUGAACGCUAGCUACAGGCUUAACACAUGCAAGUCGAGGGGUAGCACGGAAGAAGCUUGCUUCUUUGGGUGACGACCGGCGCACGGGUGAGUAACGCGUAUCCGACCUACCCAUUACUCGGGCACAGCCGCUCGAAAGAGUGAUUGAUUCCCGAUAUGUCCUUGGAGUAGAUUCAAUGAUGAAAGAUUUAUCGGUAAUGGAUGGGGAUGCGUAAGAUUAGGUAGUAGGCGGGGUAACGGCCCACCUAGCCGACGAUCUUUAGGGGUUCUGAGAGGAAGGUCCCCCACACUGGUACUGAGACACGGACCAGACUCCUACGGGAGGCAGCAGUGAGGAAUAUUGGUCAAUGGGCGGAAGCCUGAACCAGCCAAGUAGCGUGAAGGAUUACAGCCCUACGGGUUUUAAACUUCUUUUAUAUAAGAGUAAUGUGCACUACGUGUAGUGUAUUGCAAGUAUUAUAUGAAUAAGCAUCGGCUAACUCCGUGCCAGCCGCCGCCGUAACAC
rnacentral:rRNA from 1 species